AGGUUCUGUGGGUCUUCGUGUAGCAGGGGUCGAACAAUGACAAAAUAUCACUCCAUUGCUGCAAAAGUAAGAAGAAAUUCAGAAAAUUGUCUCAAAGCUGACCUAGAAAGGAAUUGGACAUGACUUUCAGAAUGAAAGACGAAGUAACAUAGUAAUUCAACCCUGAGAAUGUAUUUUCAUAAGGGAAAUCUUCUUCUGCAGGUUGUGAUGGCAGUAUUCAAAGUAUAUGGGGAAGGACAACCAAGUUGAACUCAGAUUGCUUACCAGCUGGAAAAGGUGAUUGGAGGAUGUGCUUGCCUCUUUGCUAGUGAACUUUCUGGAUUGCUAAUAUCAUCUUGUUGUAUACCUUCAUUAUGCUGACACAUCAAGCCACUCAGAGUGAAUGAGUUUUCUGAAAUUUCCUGUGUCAACAUCACAGAAUUCCUAGCCUUGUCUAAUGGUUUCUGAUUAAUUUUUAAAGACACACCUAGAAAUGCAAUGUAAGCGUUAAGAAUGCUUAAGAUCUUUUGGCUAGUGAAUCAAAUAGAAUAGUACUUCAGACAUUCUACUUCCUGCUGUGCUAGCCAGUACCCCCCCCUUCCCCCCCCCAGAAAAAAGGAUAUUCAGUCAAUUGAUUAAAAUAGGUUUUCACAUGUGCAAUGUCAAACUGUCACAGUGAGUAAGAAGGAUAACUUGUUUUUUUAGGGACUAUUAACAUAAACACACUACUAAUCAGGGCUGAGUUGGCUGUGCUCAGACCAGUAGCAAAAAAUGUCAUUUGUUUAUUACAGUCACCAUAUAGAAUUGGAUAAAUUAUAUACAUAUUUAAAUCUGUGGAAAGAUUCUGCUCCCUCUUUCCAGCUGAUGGCUUCUAUAGAUCUAUUCUUAAGGUCCAGGUACAGCACCACAGUAUCUCAAAUGUUCUGUGUUUGCAUUAAUUUCUGCUAGUACACCAAUUGCCUGAGAGCGGUGAAAUACAGCAACAGAAGAGUCUGAACGGAUAAUUUGUUGUAGAUAGAGAAUAUGAAAUGUUAAUAGCAGGACAGGAAAACACUCUCCUUUAUAGC
ensembl:lncRNA